AUAAAGUUCUAUAAUAUCUAUCUAUCUAUCUAAGUGGAGGAUUUGACUGUUGAUUCAGAUAGACUUAUACAUAGUUUUCUUUAAGGCGCUCAAUGCCUUCAGCCCCUUGCAUUCCCCAGGGGGACCCUGCAGUUUGGACUGUGUCGUGCUCCCAUCGAGCCCUUGACUGAAGCGGAGUGGUUCACAAACCAAAUAGCCUAUAUUAAACAGCCUAUAUUUAUUUAGGUCUUAAAUUGGCAGAUGCACCAGUGCGGUGCAUUUUGUGCGGACCACUUGCUUGAAUUGUGUCUUCUAUUUGAGGGGAAGUGAACUUUUUUUCAUGUGAAGUUGCAGCCUGUAUAGGCUAGUCCUAAAAAGUGUAGGCUAUACCCUACCCAGCGGGCACCUUGAUGUCAAUUUGAUGUCAAGAAUUAGUCAAGGCUUUGACCAACAUGUUGAGCAUAAUUUCAUACUAUUUUAGCUUUACAAGCUGGCUUGCUUGUGAUUGUAAAGAGGUUUAACAGGGACAUGUAGUCACUAUAAAACUUGGGUCAUUAUGAUUAAUGUUAAAUCAGUCAAAUUGAUCUGAAAUUGACAUCACACCAUAUGAGAACCAUAAUAAUCAUAAUAGUAGUAAUAAUAGCCCACUAGGCUAAUGUUACUAUUGUUUGGACACUUCUAUCAAUCAGUUUAGUAGCCAUUUCAAUGUAACAGUCUAAAAUGGCAACAAUAAUUUUCACAUAGGCUACGAUUGUUUUUAACGCUCUUGAUAAGCGCAUGCGCACACAUAGCAAUUCCCAUCCCCCACCCCUGACUGACAUUUCAACUCCAGCCACCAGUGACUUCAACUGUCACUUUUCUGUCAUGCAGCUGACUACAUGUGUAAGCUGUUCAAACUCUGCCUGUCCUUAUCAUUCAAGACUGUGUGUUACGAGGACUGCUUCCCUGAGAAUGCUGAGUGCAUUCUGGAAUAUUCCAAAUGUGUGCCACUUCCAUACGGACGCCCGCAAGAGAGUUCACUCAUCAGGUCAAAGUUGGUCUGUCCUGAUGGCACUACCUGCUACUUGAUGAUGUCUAGUAGCCAUCGCUGCUGCCUUCAACUUGGU